rnacentral:rRNA from 1 species
UACGUAGGGGGCAAGCGUUAUCCGGAUUUAUUGGGUUUAAAGGGAGCGUAGGCGGGAGCUUAAGUCAGCGGUUAAAUGGUGCGGCUCAACCGUGCCCUGCCGUUGAAACUGGGUUUCUUGAGAGUGUAAGAGGCGGAUGGAAUUCAUGGUGUAGCGGUGAAAUGCUUAGAUAUCAUGAAGAACUCCGAUUGCGAAGGCAGUCCGCUGGGGCACGUCUGACGCUGAUGCUCGAAGGUGCGGGAAUCAAACA